rnacentral:lncRNA from 1 species
CAUGCUCGCCGGAUUCUUAGGUAGAUGCGGUUCUUUACACGGGCGCUGGUGGUCCGAUUGUGCCGCAGCAGGGAUCCGCUGGGUGGGUGUAGACCUCGUACUCUGACGGUUUCGUGAGGGUAAAGAACCAUUCUAGGCUGUAUUCAUGCUGAGAUCACUCAGAAAUUGUGUAGCUCAGCCAACCUCCUUUCUGUCCGCUUUCCUUACGCAGUACCGUGGAAUCUCAGUUAAAAAUUCAUGCUGUCCAAGCACCUUCCUCUCUUGGGUCAAUGGAAUGUGGCCUUUAGAAGUUCUUUGCUCUUCACAGACACCAGCUGAAGCCAGAGGAUAUCUACAAAGAGCAGAGGAGCUAAGAAGAAAAUUCAGUAUGGACAUUUCCUACUUACUUAAUACCAAUAUGAACAAAAAGGGCCUUACAACAUUCUCAUAUACAUAUAUAUAUAUACACACACACAUGUUUUAUGAUACUUCCCCCCUUCCAAAUCUGUACCAGUGAACUUACUUUUUUAUUGUGAUGAGGGCUAACCAUAGAGGUAAGUUUGAAAUAAGGACACAGAGCAUCUUUGACCCGGAAAUGUAUCACACAGUUUAACGAUCCUUACGGAAACAUGCUUAUCUUACCCUUCUCCAUGAAAUACCUUUUACCAUAGUGGUUUUGUUGUGAAGUCAGAAGCGGGGAGGAAAUUCAUCUUAGCAGUCAUGGCUGCACAAACUGAAGCAGCUAUGAUGUUCAACCUCUAGCUGGCCCAAGGACCCUGGGAAACAAUUCUGAGCCACCUAGAGAAGUUAGAUUGGUGCUGUUUCAAAAGGAUACAGAGACAAAGUUUAUAUAUUAUGUUGGUUUUUAAUGGGGGGGGGGGGAUAGGGUGACAGGUGAUAGAGAAAUCGUAAGAAAUGAGAGAAGCUACUCUGAGACCAAUAGCCUUGAGGAAUAGUUUGUGAAACUGAGUCUGCUGCUGAUCAACCCAGAACUUCCCCAAGGGUUCUGUUCCUGCUUUAUAGAGACAAGCCUGUUAAUAGACAGGCCCCAGGGCAACUGCUGUAUGGUAAAAAGGGACUCGGAUUGACUGCUCCUGUAUCUGGGGGAAGCCAUUGCUAUCCUUGAGAAAAAAAGAUGGAUAUGGAGAGUGGCUAUCAGCCUGUCAGUGACAUCACAUUCUGUGAAGUCUUGUCUUUCACUUGGGACACAGUGGGUCUUCCAUCUGUCCUAAACCUGGCAGCCUUGUUAAGGAUCAGAAAACAUAUUCUCCUAUAUGACAGUAGGAUAGGAAUUAUCAGUGGGAUAGAAUCCAUUCCUGCCAGAGAAAAAGCAAGAAAAGAAAUCAGUUUUUGCUACCUUAUUACUUUCAGUAGACUGUCAGAUUCUAUAUUCUUUACUUUGUACAUGGCACAUUGAUUAACAAUCCUUGGUUAAAAUCCUUUAGUUUCACAUGGUGUAUAUAUGUUUAUAUUUACAGCUGUAUCAAGUCUUUUUGUCCUAUUAAAAAACAAUAUAUUCUAUU